AACGAACGCUGGCGGCAUGCCUAACACAUGCAAGUCGAACGAGACCUUCGGGUCUAGUGGCGCACGGGUGCGUAACGCGUGGGAAUCUGCCCUUCGGUUGGGAAUAACUGAGAGAAAUUUCAGCUAAUACCUUAUAAUGUCUUCGGACCAAAGAUUUAUCGCCGAGGGAUGAGCCCGCGUAGGAUUAGGUAGUUGGUGGGGUAAUGGCCUACCAAGCCGACGAUCCUUAGCUGGUCUGAGAGGAUGAUCAGCCACACUGGGACUGAGACACGGCCCAGACUCCUACGGGAGGAAGCAGUGGGGAAUAUUGGACAAUGGGCGAAAGCCUGAUCCAGCAAUGCCGCGUGAGUGAUGAAGGCCUUAGGGUUGUAAAGCUCUUUUACCCGGGAUGAUAAUGACAGUACCGGGAGAAUAAGCUCCGGCUAACUCCGUG
rnacentral:rRNA from 1 species